rnacentral:rRNA from 1 species
GGACGAACGCUGGCGGCGCGCCUAACACAUGCAAGUCGAACCGAGAGAGAGGGAGCUUGCUUCCUCGAUCGAGUGGCGAACGGGUGAGUAACGCGUGAGGAACCUGCCUCAAAGAGGGGGACAACAGUUGGAAACGACUGCUAAUACCGCAUAAGCCCACGACCCGGCAUCGGGAAGAGGGAAAAGGAGCAAUCCGCUUUGAGAUGGCCUCGCGUCCGAUUAGCUAGUUGGUGAGGUAACGGCCCACCAAGGCGACGAUCGGUAGCCGGACUGAGAGGUUGAACGGCCACAUUGGGACUGAGACACGGCCCAGACUCCUACGGGAGGCAGCAGUGGGGAAUAUUGCACAAUGGGGGAAACCUUGAUGCAGCGACGCCGCGUGGAGGAAGAAGGUCUUCGGAUUGUAAACUCCUGUUGUUGAGGAAGAUAAUGACGGUACUCAACAAGGAAGUGACGGCUAACUACGUG